rnacentral:rRNA from 1 species
UACGUAGGUGGCAAGCGUUGUCCGGAAUUAUUGGGCGUAAAGCGCGCGCAGGCGGUUAUGUAAGUCUGAUGUUAAAGCCCGGGGCUCAACCCCGGUUCGCAUUGGAAACUGCGUAACUUGAGUGCAGAAGAGGAAAGCGGUAUUCCACGUGUAGCGGUGAAAUGCGUAGAGAUGUGGAGGAACACCAGUGGCGAAGGCGGCUUUCUGGUCUGUAACUGACGCUGAGGCGCGAAAGCGUGGGGAGCAAACAGGAUUAGAAACCCCAGUAGUCC